rnacentral:rRNA from 1 species
GUUUGAUCCUGGCUCAGGAUGAACGCUAGCGACAGGCUUAACACAUGCAAGUCGAGGGGCAUCAUGAGGUAGCAAUACCUUGAUGGCGACCGGCGCACGGGUGAGUAACGCGUAUGCAACCUGCCUGAUACCGGGGUAUAGCCCAUGGAAACGUGGAUUAACACCCCAUAGUACUUUUAUCCUGCAUGGGAUGUGAGUUAAAUGUUUAAGGUAUCGGAUGGGCAUGCGUCCUAUUAGUUAGUUGGCGGGGUAACAGCCCACCAAGCCUUCGAUGGAUAGGGGUUCUGAGAGGAAGGUCCCCCACAUUGGAACUGAGACACGGUCCAAACUCCUACGGGAGGCAGCAGUGAGGAAUAUUGGUCAAUGGACGAGAGUCUGAACCAGCCAAGUAGCGUGAAGGAUGACUGCCCUAUGGGUUGUAAACUUCUUUUAUACGGGAAUAAAGUGAGGCACGUGUGCCUUUUUGUAUGUACCGUAUGAAUAAGGAUCGGCUAACUCCGUGCCAGCAGCCGCGGUAAUACGGAGGAUCCGAGCGUUAUCCGGAUUUAUUGGGUUUAAAGGGAGCGUAGGCGGACGCUUAAGUCAGUUGUGAAAGUUUGCGGCUCAACCGUAAAAUUGCAGUUGAUACUGGGUGUCUGAGUACAGA